CGCCUCUUGCUAACAAAGGAAGUACUAGAGGUCCCGCCUGCCCUGUGACCACAAAGUUUAACGGCCGCGGUAUCCUGACCGUGCGAAGGUAGCGUAAUCAUUUGUCUUUUAAAUAGAGACCUGUAUGAAUGGCAUAACGAGGGUUUAACUGUCUCCUUCCCCUAGUCAAUGAAAUUGAUCUGCCCGUGCAGAAGCGGACAUAAAUACAUAAGACGAGAAGACCCUAUGGAGCUUUAGACAAAAGAUCAAACAUGUAAAGAAACCAAGUUAACCAAAAGGAACACAAAAGCCACGAAACCCGACGUAAACUGAUCCAAAUGUCUUCGGUUGGGGCGACCAUGGGGGAGAAAAAAGCCCCCACGAGGAACAGGGACUAAUCCCUAAGCCAAGAGAGACAUCUCUAAGCAACAGAAAAUCUGACCAAAAGUGACCCAGAAUACUAAUUCUGAUCAACGAACCAAGUUACCCUAGGGAUAACAGCGCAAUCCUUUCCCAGAGUCCAUAUCGACGAAAGGGUUUACGACCUCGAUGUUGGAUCAGGACAUCCUAAUGGUGCAGCCGCUAUUAAGGGUUCGU
rnacentral:rRNA from 1 species